ACCUGGCUGGCUCAGUCAGUAGAGCCUGCGACUCUUGAUCUCAGGGUUGUGAGUUCAAGCCCCAUGUUAGGUG
rfam:Felis catus isolate Cinnamon breed Abyssinian chromosome A2, whole genome shotgun sequence.